rnacentral:rRNA from 1 species
UACGUAGGUGGCAAGCGUUGUCCGGAUUUACUGGGCGUAAAGAGCGCGCAGGCGGUCGGAUCAGUACGAUGUAAAGCCCCCGGCUCAACUGGGGAGGGUCAUUCGAUACUGUCCGACUCGAAGGCAGGAGAGGGAAGCGGAAUUCCCGGUGUAGUGGUGAAAUGCGUAGAUAGUCGGGAGAACACCAGUGGCGAAGGCGGCUUCUGGCCUGUUCUUGACGCUGAGGCGCGAAAGCUGAGGGGAGCGAACGGGGAUUAAGAU